AAUGUAUCUUGUUUACAAAGACUGAUUUCUAAACAUAUUAUUGUAGGUUAAAGACAAAUUACUGAAAACAUUCUUGCUCUGUUAAUCACUCAGACACACCAACAAUAUUUAGCUCACUUCUAAGCAGGGGCACUUGGGAGGUAUGCAGAGAGCAGGGACAUGGUCUGUAUAUAAAAUUGCAUUAAGAUGAAGUGGCUUUGUUACUUAGAGUGUCCUCUUACACAUAAUUAAUACUAGUGUUUCCCAAUGGAGUACUGGUGUUUCCCAACUGAGUCUUUUAGGCACACCAGCAGUGCAUGUUUUCUCACUACACUCAUUCAAAAAGAAUUAGGAAAUGCCUAAUUCUGGAUUGUCGGUAUUCUUUGAAAACCGGGUUGGG